rnacentral:misc_RNA from 1 species
AACUGUGAUUUACUUGGUUUUCAUACGUUUGAUUAUGCACGUCACUUCCUCUCAUGCUGCAGCAGAAUGUUGGGCUUGGACUAUGAAUCUAAGCGGGGACAUAUUGGACUGGAUUAUUAUGGUCGCACGGUAUAUAUCAAAAUUCUGCCUGUAGGAAUUCACAUGGGUCGGCUGGAAUCAGUGAUGAAUCUUCCAUCUACAUUUGCUAAAGUCAAAGAAAUUCGA